rnacentral:rRNA from 1 species
UACGGAGGGGGCUAGCGUUGUUCGGAAUUACUGGGCGUAAAGCGCACGUAGGCGGAUUGGAAAGUCAGAGGUGAAAUCCCAAGGCUCAACCUUGGAACUGCCUUUGAAACUCCCAGUCUUGAGUUCGAGAGAGGUGAGUGGAAUUCCGAGUGUAGAGGUGAAAUUCGUAGAUAUUCGGAGGAACACCAGUGGCGAAGGCGGCUCACUGGCUCGAUACUGACGCUGAGGUGCGAAAGCGUGGGGAGCAAACAGG